CUCUGGGAUAAGCCUGGGAAACUGGGUCUAAUACUGGAUACUACCGUCCACCGCAUGGUGGGUGGUGGAAAGGGUUUUACUGGUUUUGGAUGGGCUCACGGCCUAUCAGCUUGUUGGUGGGGUAAUGGCUCACCAAGGCGACGACGGGUAGCCGGCCUGAGAGGGUGACCGGCCACACUGGGACUGAGACACGGCCCAGACUCCUACGGGAGGCAGCAGUGGGGAAUAUUGCACAAUGGGCGGAAGCCUGAUGCAGCGACGCCGCGUGAGGGAUGACGGCCUUCGGGUUGUAAACCUCUUUCAGUAGGGAAGAAGCGAGAGUGACGGUACCUGCAGAAGAAGCGCCGGCUAACUACGUGCCAGCAGCCGCGGUAAUACGUAGGGCGCAAGCGUUGUCCGGAAUUAUUGGGCGUAAAGAGCUCGUAGGCGGUUUGUCGCGUCUGCUGUGAAAGCCCGGGGCUCAACCC
rnacentral:rRNA from 1 species